rnacentral:rRNA from 1 species
AUUGAACGCUGGCGGCAUGCUUUACACAUGCAAGUCGAACGGUAGAGGGGGCAACCCCUUGAGAGUGGCGAACGGGUGAGUAAUGCAUCGGAACGUGCCCAGUCGUGGGGGAUAACUACUCGAAAGAGUGGCUAAUACCGCAUACGACCUGAGGGUGAAAGCGGGGGACCGAAAGGCCUCGCGCGAUUGGAGCGGCCGAUGUCAGAUUAGGUAGUUGGUGGGGUAAAGGCCUACCAAGCCUGCGAUCUGUAGCUGGUCUGAGAGGACGACCAGCCACACUGGGACUGAGACACGGCCCAGACUCCUACGGGAGGCAGCAGUGGGGAAUUUUGGACAAUGGGCGCAAGCCUGAUCCAGCCAUGCCGCGUGCGGGAAGAAGGCCUUCGGGUUGUAAACCGCUUUUGUCAGGGAAGAAAUCCUUUGGGUUAAUACCUCGGAGGGAUGACGGUACCUGAAGAAUAAGCACCGGCUAACUACGUGCCAGCCGCCGCAGUAAUAC